rnacentral:rRNA from 1 species
GACAGAGGGUGCAAACGUUGUUCGGAAUUACUGGGCGUAAAGCGAGUGUAGGCGGUCUACUAAGUCGGGUGUGAAAGCCCCGGGCUCAACCCGGGAAGUGCACUCGAAACUGGCAGGCUAGAGUAUCGGAGAGGUUGGUGGAAUUCUCGGUGUAGAGGUGAAAUUCGUAGAUAUCGAGAGGAACACCGGUGGCGAAGGCGGCCAACUGGACGAAUACUGACGCUGAGACUCGAAAGCGUGGGGAGCAAACAGG